GAUGAACGCUGGCGGCGUGCCUAAUACAUGCAAGUCGAGCGAACGGACGAGAAGCUUGCUUCUCUGAUGUUAGCGGCGGACGGGUGAGUAACACGUGGAUAACCUACCUAUAAGACUGGGAUAACUUCGGGAAACCGGAGCUAAUACCGGAUAAUAUUUUGAACCGCAUGGUUCAAAAGUGAAAGACGGUCUUGCUGUCACUUAUAGAUGGAUCCGCGCUGCAUUAGCUAGUUGGUAAGGUAACGGCUCACCAAGGCAACGAUGCAUAGCCGACCUGAGAGGGUGAUCGGCCACACUGGAACUGAGACACGGUCCAGACUCCUACGGGAGGCAGCAGUAGGGAAUCUUCCGCAAUGGGCGAAAGCCUGACGGAGCAACGCCGCGUGAGUGAUGAAGGUCUUCGGAUCGUAAAACUCUGUUAUUAGGGAAGAACAUAUGUGUAAGUAACUGUGCACAGCUUGACGGUACCUAAUCAGAAAGCCACGGCUAACUACGUG
rnacentral:rRNA from 1 species